AAUGAACGCUGGCGGCAUGCCUAAUACAUGCAAGUCGAGCGAACGGACGAGAAGCUUUCUUCUCUGAUGUUGUCGGCGGACGGGAGAGUAACACGUGGAUAACCUACCUAUACGACUGGGAUAACUUCGGGAAACCGGAGCUACUACCGGAUAAUAUUUUGAACCGCAUGGUUCAAAAGUGAAAUACGGUCUUGCUGUCACUUAUAGCUUGAUCCGCGCUGCAUUAGUUAGUUGGUAAGGUAACGGCUUACCAAGGCAACGAUGCAUAGCCGACCUGAGAGGGUGGUUGCACACCUGGGAUCUGAGACACGUCCGCGACUCCUGCGGUAGGACGCAGUCGGGAAUCUUACGCGAUGGGGGAGAGCGUGACGGUGCAACGCCGGGUGAGGGAUGAAGGUGCUCGGCUCGUAAAACGCUGUUAGUAGUGAAGAACAUAUGUGCAAGUAACCGUGAUGAUAUUGACGGUACCGAAUCAGUAAGCCCCGGCUAACUACGUG
rnacentral:rRNA from 1 species